rnacentral:misc_RNA from 1 species
AAAAUGCGAUACUUGGUGUGAAUUGCAGAAUCCCGUGAACCAUCGAGUUUUUGAACGCAAGUUGCGCCCGAAGCCAUCCGGCUGAGGGCACGCCUGCCUGGGCGUCACGCAUCGCGUCGCUCCCCACCAUACCUCCCCAACGGGUUGGCAUGGUGUUGGGGGCGGAUAAUGGCCUCCCGUGCUUGUGUUUCGGUUGGCCUAAAUAAGAGUUCCCUUCGGCGGACACACGACUAGUGGUGGUUGAAUAGACCCUCGUCUUUUGUUGCGUAUCGUGAGCUGUAAGGGUAGCCCUCAUCAAAGACCCCAUUGUAUCGUCUUCGGAUGAUGCUUCGACCGCGACCCCAGGUCAGGCGGGACUACCCGCUGAGUUUAAGC